UACGUAGGGUGCGAGCGUUAAUCGGAAUUACUGGGCGUAAAGUGUGCGCAGGCGGCUUCGCAAGUCGAGUGUGAAAUCCCCGAGCUUAACUUGGGAAUUGCGCUCGAAACUACGGAGCUGGAGUGUGGCAGAGGAAGGUGGAAUUCCACGUGUAGCGGUGAAAUGCGUAGAGAUGUGGAGGAACACCGAUGGCGAAGGCAGCCCUUCUGGGCCAACACUGACGCUCAUGCACGAAAGCGUGGGGAGCAAACAGG
rnacentral:rRNA from 1 species